rnacentral:rRNA from 1 species
AUGGUCUCCUUCUGGAGUUUCCUUCUGUCCUACCCUGAAGUUUUCCUAGCCAUUGCUUGCUUCUUCUGCCUCUCCCUCUUCCGCCUUGUCCGACACUGCCACAAGAGUGACCUCCCGGUGAACUGGCCUGUUAUUGGGAUGCUUCCCUUCCUCGUGAGAAAUCUGUACCAAAUUCAUGACAGUGUCACCGAUAUGCUCCGCGAGGCGGGAUGCACCUUCAGGAUCAUUGGCCCGUGGUUCCUCAACAUGAGCUUCUUGGCGACCUGCGACCCAGCCACUGUCAACCACUGCUUCAAUACCAACUUCAACAACUACCCAAAAGGCAGUGAGUUCGCCGAGAUGUUCGACAUCCUAGGUGAUGGGCUCCUUGUGGCGGACUCUGAGUCCUGGGAGUACCAGCGCCGUGUGGCGAUGCAAGUCUUUGCUAGCCGCGCCUUCCGGUCCUUCUCCAUGUCCACCAUCACGAGGAAGGCCGGCACAGUCUUGUUACCCUUCCUUGACCACAUGGCUAAGCACGGCUCACAGGUUGAGCUGGAGGGUGUCUUCAUGAGGUUCUCACUUGAUGUCUCGUACUCCACUGUGUUUGCAACUGACCUUGACUGCUUGUCUGUGUCUCACCCGAUCCCUGCGUUUGGCCAAGCCACAAAGGAAGUCGAGGAGGGAAUGCUGUUCAGGCAUGUUGUUCCACCAAGUUUGUGGAAGCUCUUGAGAAUGCUGAAUGUUGGCAGCGAGAAGAAGAUGGCGAAUGCAAGGGUGGUGAUCGACCAAUUCAUCUAUGAGGAAAUCGCGAAGCGGAAGGCACAAGCAACCAAGCAAUGCCAGGGAGACGUGCUGUCCAUGUACAUGAACUGGCCCAUGGAUCCCAGCAUGAGUGAGCAGCAAAAGACCCUGUUCCUGCGCGACACAGUGGUGGGGUUCAUCUUUGCUGGGAAGGACCUCGUUGCCGUUACACUCACGUGGUUCUUCUACAUGAUGUGCAAGCAUCCGCAUGUUGAGGCGAAGAUCCUCGAGGAGAUCAAGGCCCUGCAGAGCACUACAUGGCCAGGGAACCUCUCUGUCUUCGAGUGUGACAAGCUCCGGCCUGCUAUUUACCUGCAAGCUGCACUCCUCGAGACACUCAGGCUCUUCCCGGCGACCCCAUUCGAGGAGAAGGAGGCCCUCAACGAUGAUGUCCUCCCAGACGGUACCAUGGUGAGCAAGGGCACAAGGAUCGUGUUCUCGCUCUACGCCAUGGGGAGGAUCAAAGGGAUAUGGGGCAAGGAUUGCAUGGAAUUCAGACCAGAGCGGUGGAUCUCGAAGAGCGGGCGCCUUCGGCACGAGCCAAGCUACAAGUUCCUGUCCUUCAAUUCCGGGCCCAGGAGCUGCCUUGGGAAGGACCUUGGUCUCAGCAACAUGAAGAUGGCAGCUGCUUCCAUCAUAUACAACUUCAAGGUGGAGCUGGUGGAAGGCCACGCCGUGAUGCCCGAGAGCGCUGUGAUACUGCACACACGGAACGGGAUGAUGGUUCGGCUCAAGAGAAGGGAGCUGGUAGCUGCUUGA